AGAGUUUGAUCCUGGCUCAGGACGAACGCUGGCGGCGUGCCUAAUACAUGCAAGUCGAACGGAUUGCCUUCGGGCAGUUAGUGGCGGACGGGUGAGUAACACGUGAGUGACCUGCCCUGGAGUGGGGAAUAACUCUGCGAAAGCAGCGCUAAUACCGCAUUCGCUUAUUUCAUCAUCGGAAUAAGUAAAGCUUUACGCGCUUCAGGAGGGGCUUGCGGCCGAUUAGCUAGUCGGUGGGGUAAUGGCCUACCGAGGCAACGAUCGGUAGCUGGUCUGAGAGGAUGACCAGCCACACUGGGACUGAGACACGGCCCAGACUCCUACGGGAGGCAGCAGUAAGGAAUAUUCCACAAUGGUCGCAAGACUGAUGGAGCAACGCCGCGUGCGCGACGAAGCCCUUCGGGGUGUAAAGCGCUUUUCCCAGGGAUGAGAAUGGACAGUACCUGGGGAAUAAGCCUCGGCUAACUACGUGCCAGCAGCCGCGGUAAUACGUAGGAGGCGAGCGUUGUCCGGAAUCACUGGGCGUAAAGCGCGUGUAGGCGGUUACGGAAGUCUGCUGUGAAAACGCUCCGCUUAACGGGGCGAGGUCGGUGGAAACUCCGCGACUGGAGGACGGUAGAGGUAGGUGGAAUUCCCGGUGUAGUGGUGAAAUGCGUAGAGAUCGGGAGGAACACCUGUGGCGAAUGCGGCCUACUGGGCCGGACCUGACGCUGAGACGCGAAGGCGCGGGGAGCGAACGGGAUUAGAUACCCCGGUAGUCCGCGCAGUAAACGAUGUAUACUAGGUGUGGGGGGUAUCAAGCCCCUCUGUGCCGUAGCUAACGCGAUAAGUAUACCGCCUGGGGAGUACGGCCGCAAGGUUAAAACUCCAAAGGAAUUGACGGGGGCCCGCACAAGCAGCGGAGCGUGUGGUUUAAUUCGAUGCGACGCGAAGAACCUUACCUAGACUUGACAUGGCCUUGUAAGCCGUGGAAACACGGCCCCUCUUCGGAGCAAGGUCACAGAUGUUGCAUGGCCGUCGUCAGCUCGUGUCGUGAGAUGUUGGGUUAAGUCCCGCAACGAGCGCAACCCUCGUGGUCUGUUGAAUGUUUCAGGCCAGACUGCCCCCAAAAGGGGAGGAAGGUGGGGAUGACGUCAAGUCCGCAUGGCUCUUACGUCUAGGGCUACACACACGCUACAAUGGCCGGUACAAUGGGCAGCCACGCCGCGAGGCGGAGCGAAUCCCCAAAACCGGUCUCAGUUCGGAUGGUCGGCUGCAACUCGCCUGCCUGAAGUCGGAGUUGCUAGUAACCGCGUGUCAGCAUAGCGCGGUGAAUAUGUUCCCGGGCCUUGUACACACCGCCCGUCACGUCAUGAAAGUUGGUCACACCUGAAGUCCGUGGGCCGACCCGCAAGGGGGGUAGCGGCCGAGGGUGGGGCGGAUGAUUGGGACGAAGUCGUAACAAGGUAACC
rnacentral:rRNA from 1 species